CAGAGCCCAAAACAUCUCUAAUUUCUGAAUAUAUAAUUCCUAAUUGUUCUAUAUAUUCUUUUUCAUGUUCAUCAUAUUCUUCAUCAUUCAUCCUCACAAACGUAGCGCGAGCACCUCUUACUGAAUCUCUCUCUAGCUCAUUUCAACUUUGAAAAAUGUAGAAGAUUGGCACCUCAACGGAGUUGAACGACCCCUGAAGGAGAGAAAGCUUGGAUUUCGCCGGAGCAGAACGAUGCCUUGACGGAGUUGAAUGACACAUUGGCGGAGAAAGAGCUUGGUUUGAAGUAGAUAUAAAAGGAAACCAUGGGGCGGUGGAUUUCUAAAGCGGUGCUUCGCUUCUCCACCUCUCUACCGCAAAACCCUCCUUACUCGUUCAAGCCAGAACCAGACCGAUGAUCACCAACACCAGAUCGAUCCAUAUUGAUGACAUUUGAUUGUGUUUUCUAGGGAGAUGGUGACAUAGAGGGGUUUCUGGUCGAUUGUACCCUCAUUCCACGAUAACGGUGACACUUCACUUUCAGAUUAUGCGGCAAAUCAUUCCCCAAUUAAUUUCAUUGAGACCAAAUCGUGAGGGUGGAGCGGUUGUUUGACACAUGAGAAUUGUGAUAAUUAGCCAUUGCUGAACUAAAGUACAAAAAAAUUGGCUUAACGGCUAUGAUAAAAAAGAUUUGUAACUAUACGGUUCAAGCUUCUAAGGAUUUGUUUGGUGUUUGAGAGCGUGCUUAGCUUUACUUGUUUGAUGUGUUAUUAUGCUUACCACUUUAAUUAACCUUUGAAUUUGUUCUGUUAUGAUAACCAAUUAUCUGUUGUACAUGGUUUUGUUCUAUUGUUCCUAAAACUAGGCACAACUGGACCUUUAGUGACAUGAUCGACUUUCAGUGACAUCGUGGUGCUGAUGCUGGCAUGCUGCUAAUGGGAUUUUCUUUGAGCGCCGGUGCGAGUCCCAUGUUCUUGAUCUUCAUAUGGUGGGGCCAUAUUCCACCAAGUGGAGCAAUUGAAUUGAUAAUACUUACUUGUUUUGGCAUCCUGGAUUAUCUUCAAUCUAGACCAACCAUGAGGAAUGAUUUCAUUGACUUUGCUUUACAGUUUGUACUGAUGGUUGCUGCAAGUUCAGUGGGGGAGGAGCUCCUUUACAGGCUGCUGUUCAGGUUUGUUUAGGACUUAGGAGGUUCUGUGCCUGGUUAUAAUUGUAUCAUGUGCUCAUACAAGAUAUAUAUCACUUUACAUAUCACACGAUGUGCAGCAUGUCAUUCACCAAUAGCUUGUUCAAUGAACUUAAUGCCCCACAUAACACAUGAACAGAAUAUGCAUGUUAUACAUUUACAUGUGAAUAAACACAUGUUUUCCUUGUUUGGAUUUGCUUAUUUAAUUAAAAAAAGGCUAAACAUAGAUUUUUUAGCUUAAAAGCUUUUUUUUUUCGUGCAAAAUAAAUUACUCCAACUUGGCACAUAUAGAUAUAGGGCAGAACUGCAAUGUUAGACUUUUGGUAUAGAGUUUAGCAGUUUGAAAGAAGGCCCAUGAAUGGCUGGAAUUAAACUGACAUUUGAAGGGCUCAAUUGAUGCAAACUCAUAGCUCAUGCCUCUAGAUCAAAGGUAUGGAGAGCAAGGCUUUGUAUCUUGUGUUAAUGCAUUACAAGACUUGUCACAUGCAAAUCUGGCACACUGCACAACGUACUAGAAAAAGGAAGUUUAUUAGAGGGGAAAGAAGGAAAGUUCUAUAAGAGGAGAUAGUAUAGCCUUUUAAAGAGAAAACUUAAAUUUCUCUUAUUUAGUAUGCAGAUGGAGAUCAUUGAGCAAGUGGAUUUUCACUCGAGCAGUUCUUCCAUCUGUGUUUGCUGCAUAGUUUGAUAACUAAUAAAAGUUUUGCUUGCUCAAGUUCUCUAAACAUACCUUUAUAUACCCUCUUAAUACUAUGUAUGCCUCAUACUGUUAUUCAAUAGUGUUAUGUAAUGUUUCAGAUCUCCCUUUACUUUUUUCUAUGCUUGUGUGGAAGACUUUGCAGAUGAUAAAUAUGAUUCUAAUAAUGAUAUUUAGAUGAUGAGGUUUCAUAA